CCUACGGGAGGCAGCAGUGGGGCAUAUUGCACAAUGGGGGGAACCCUGAUGCAGCGACGCCGCGAGGGUGAAGGAGCGUCUCGGCGCUUAAAGCCCUAUCUGCAGGGAAGAAGAUGACGGUACCUGACCAAGAAGCCCCGCCUAACGACGUGUCAGCAGCCGCGGGAAUACGUGGGGGGCAAGCGUUAGCCGAAUUUACUGGGGGUAAAUUGGCCGGAGGCGGCAAUGUAAACCAGGAUUGAAAGCACCGGGCGCAACCACGGGACUGCUCUUGGAACUGACUGGCUGGAGUACAGGAGGGGCAGGCGGAAUUCCUAGUGUAGCGGUGAAAUGCGUAGAUAUUAGGAGGAACACCGGUGGCGAAGGCGGCCUGCUGGACUGUGACUGACGUUGAGGCGCGAAGGCGUGGGGAGCGAACAGGAUUAGAUACCCUUGUAGUC
rnacentral:rRNA from 1 species